AGCAGCCGCGGUAAUUCCAGCUCCAAUAGCGUAUAUUAAAGUUGUUGCAGUUAAAAAGCUCGUAGUUGAAUUUCGGGGUUUAUCCGUUGGUCGGGCUUUUCGGUCUGUACUGGCGUGAUGGAUUCCUACCUUCUGAAUAACCAGCAUGUCAUUAAUUUGGUGCGUUGGGGAAGCAGGACUGUUACCUUGAAAAAAUUAGAGUGCUUAAAGCAGGCUAUUGCCUGAAUACAUUAGCAUGGAAUAAUGAAAUAGGACGCAUGGUUCUAUUUUGUUGGUUUCUAGGAUCACCGUAAUGAUUAAUAGGGAUAGUUGGAGGCAUUAGUAUUCAAUUGUCAGAGGUGAAAUUCUUGGAUUUAUUGAAGACUAACUUCUGCGAAAGCAUUUGCCAAGGAUGUUUUCAUUAAUCAAGAACGAAAGUUAGGGGAUCGAAGACGAUCAGAUACCGUCGUAGUCUUAACCAUAAACUAUGCCGACUAGGGAUCGGACGAUGUUAAUUUUUAAUGACUCGUUCGGCGCCUUA
rnacentral:rRNA from 1 species